rnacentral:lncRNA from 1 species
AUGACCCCACUGACCAUCUCCAUGGACCCAAUGACCAACAACCCAACGAUGAUGGCCCUAAAGACCAUCUCCAUCUUCUCAAUGACCAUCAACCCAAGGAUGAACAAUGAGCAUCAACCCAACGAUGAUGGCUCCAAAGACCAUCCCCAUGGACCCAGUGACCAUCCCCAUGGACCCAAAGACCAUCAACCCAACCACGAUGGCUCCAAUGACCAUCAACCCAACGGUGAUGGCCCCAAACACCAUCUCCUCCAUGUUCUCAAAGACCAUCAACCCAACCAUGAUGGCCCUAAAGACCAUCUCCAUCUCCUCAAGACCAUCUCCAUGGCCCCAGUGACCAUCCCUGUAGCCCCAGUGACCAUCAACCCAACGAUGAUGGCCUCAAAGACCAUCUCCAUCUCCCCAAGACCCAUCUCCAUCACCUCAAUGACCAUCAACCCAACGAUGAUGGCCCCAAAGACCAUCUCCAUGGACCCAAUAACCAUCAACCCAACCAUGAUGACUCCAAAGACCCAUCCCCAUGACCCCACUGACCAUCUCCAUGGACCCAAUGACCAACAACCCAACGAUGAUGGCCCUAAAGACCAUCUCCAUCUUCUCAAUGACCAUCAACCCAAGGAUGAUGGCCCCAAGACCCAUCUCCAUGUGCCCAAUGACCAUCCCCAUGGACCCAAAGACCAACAACCCAACCAUGAUGGCCCCAAAGACCAUCUCCAUCUUCUCAAAGACCAUCAACCCAACCAUGAUGACUCCAAUGACCAUCAACCCAACUGUGAUGAACCCAAAGACCAUCCCCAUGGACCCAAUGACCAUCAACCCAACGAUGAUGGCACCAAGAUCCAUCCCCACGUCCCCACCACCAACAAACCCAACGUUCUUGACCCCAAACUCAACAUUCUUGACCCCAAACCCCAUCCCCAUGUCCUCACCACCCCCAAACCCAACGCUCUUGACCCCAAACCCAACGCUCUUGACCCCAAACCCCAUCCCCACCUCCCCAACAUCAACAAACCCAACGUUCUUGACCCCAAACCCAACGUUCUUGACCCCAGACCCCAUCCUCACCUCCCCAAUGUCAACAAACCCAACAUUCUUGACACCAAGAUCCAUCCCCACGUCCCCACCACCAACAAACCC